rnacentral:rRNA from 1 species
GAUGAACGCUGGCGGCGUGCCUAAUACAUGCAAGUCGAGCGAACGGACGAGAAGCUUGCUUCUCUGAUGUUAGCGGCGGACGGGUGAGUAACACGUGGAUAACCUACCUAUAAGACUGGGAUAACUUCGGGAAACCGGAGCUAAUACCGGAUAAUAUUUUGAACCGCAUGGUUCAAAAGUGAAAGACGGUCUUGCUGUCACUUAUAGAUGGAUCCGCGCUGCAUUAGCUAGUUGGUAAGGUAACGGCUUACCAAGACAACGAUGCAUAGCCGACCUGAGAGGGUGAUCGGCCACACUGGAACUGAGACACGGUCCAGACUCCUACGGGAGGCAGCAGUAGGGAAUCUUCCGCGAUGGGCGAAAGCCUGACGGAGCAACGCCGCGUGAGUGAUGAAGGUCUUCGGAUCGUAAAACUCUGUUAUUAGGGAAGAACAUAUGUGUAAGUAACUGUGCACAUCUUGACGGUACCUAAUCAGAAAGCCACGGCUAACUACGUG